rnacentral:rRNA from 1 species
GACGAACGCUGGCGGUGUGCCUAAUACAUGCAAGUAGAACGCUGAAGGAGGAGCUUGCUUCUCUGGAUGAGUUGCGAACGGGUGAGUAACGCGUAGGUAACCUGCCUGGUAGCGGGGGAUAACUAUUGGAAACGAUAGCUAAUACCGCAUAAGAGUAGAUGUUGCAUGACAUUUGCUUAAAAGGUGCAAUUGCAUCACUACCAGAUGGACCUGCGUUGUAUUAGCUAGUUGGUGGGGUAACGGCUCACCAAGGCGACGAUACACAGCCGACCUGAGAGGGGGAUCGGCCACACUGGGACGGAGACACGGCCCAGACUCCUACGGGAGGCAGCAGUAGGGAAUCUUCGGCAAUGGACGGAAGUCUGACCGAGCAACGCCGCGUGAGUGAAGAAGGUUUUCGGAUCGUAAAGCUCUGUUGUAAGAGAAGAACGAGUGUGAGAGUGGAAAGUUCACACUGUGACGGUAUCUUACCAGAAAGGGACGGCUAACUACGUG